GACAAAGGGCAGAGAGGAGGCCGCGGGCUGGAGGCUGAGCCACUCUGCCCUCCUCUCCCACCUUUCCUGGGGCCUGGCCACCCGAAGUGGAUCAGCGCUGCUGUCCUGCAGAAGGUGCUGUGCUGGCUGGGGUCCUCUGAACCUGCAAUUUCCUGGGAUGUCACCCGUGGUGCCUCCUCCGUGAGCCUUACUGAGGGUCCAGGCCUUCCAGGAGCCUCGGUCUGGGAGGGAAGCAGCUGCCGUGGCCACUCAGGGUAGGCAAAGCCAGAGCUGUGGCAUGAAGAGCCAGGGCACAGCCCGGAUCAAGGCCUUGGAGCAGAGAAAGCCAGGUGCCACCAUGUGACAGGUAGGGGCGGAGGCAGGUGGACCGCUUUGCACCACUGCCCUGGGAGAUUGGGCCCUGUCUACCGAAGUCCACGGAGAAGACUGGUGUCUCCUGCCCUUUCACAGACACAGAAGCUGGGGCACAGGGUGGGAAGCCAGGGCCCUGGCCGUCACCCCAGACGCCUGUCCCAGCGAGGAAGGUGGGAGCUGGCGGGCAGCAGGCUGGCUGCGGAGGGUGGACCUGGCAGGUCUGCUCCCAGAGCCACUGCUUCUUGUUCUGGAAAACAGCCUACUCUCUCGGAAGGAAGUAGCAUGACCCCUGCUGGGGUGUGGUUGCUGCCACUCUCGAGCACCCCAGGACCUGUCCCCCAACUCUCAGGCUGGGACCAUCAGGCUGGGCAGGUGGGGUGCCAGUGAGGGUGGAGGGGCCCGCGAGGCCCAGCAGGCAGGAAGGCAGGUGCCCUGAACAGGCGAUUCUGGUGUCAGUGAGACCCCAGAGGCCGCCAGGGUGGCCCAGCCCAGCGUCCCCAAAGCCCAGGGACAAUCACGUCCCACUCACCUGGGGUCAUUGCAGGGGUGACACGGAGAGGUUGCCCUCUACCACUUUCCUUCUAUGGGGUGGACGCCAUUCUGGGGUUCAGGUCUGUGGUGUGAGGCCCAGCUGAUGGCCCUGGCAAUGUCAGCUCCUCCUCUGGCCACCAGGAAAGGAGAUUCUGAAGUGGGCCACAGACUGCCUUGAGGAUGAGCCGCUAGGAGGAGGGUGUGGCAUCUGGGCAGGGACGGCCGCCUUAUGAGUGCAGAGGUGUGGGUGGGGGCCUCUCCUGGGGUGGCAGGGAACUCUCAGGCACAGAGCCGGCUGGAUGCUGGUUUAGCCUCACCAGAGCCCAAGGUGGCAGAGGGGCUGGUGCAGUCUCUGGCCUGGCCAGGAGAGGGCACGCAUGGCCUGCUUCUCCUCCUGGACCUUGCUGCUCCUUUCUCCUCCUGGAGCUGACUGAGCGCACAGGACUCUUGAGGGACUGGGUUUUGUUUCUCACAGAUCUGGAGGCCUGGAAGAACCAGACUGUGCCUGGCACCCAUCAAGGGCCUGGAUGAGGAGCACUGCAGGACGAGGGUCGGGAGGGCUGGGUUCUCCAUGGCAGCAGAGGAGGGGAGGAGCCGUCGCUCUCUCCCCAGACAGCAGCCUGGGCCCUCAUCCUCCAGGACAGUGCCGUCCCAGACCCUGCCCUGCCAAGAGGACGUAGCUGGCACUGCCGGCCACCUCCUGGUGUGCCUGCUCCUGCUCCUGUCCCCAUCCUCUUCCGCCUCCUGCUGUUCUUUAUAAGGACCCCCCCAGCUCCCUGGGGACAGAACAUGUGUGGCUCUGUUCGGGUGACAGCUGUUUCCAUGCUGAGAAGCAUCUUGCUCCUGUCGCUUAUCCUCCACGUUGGACAUCCCUGCUUUGGCCCAUUUCUCAGCCUUGUCACUGGCAGGUGGCAGCCAGGAUGGAGCCACCUGGGUCAGGACGCUGGGACCAGUUCUCUGGGCAGGUGUUGGCCACGGGGAAGGUCCCAGGACCACAGUGCUGUCUGCCAGCACAGUGGCCCUGUGAAUGAAGAGGGAGCAGAGAGAUCUGAGACAGGCAGCUUCUGGAGGAGCUGGUCCUGGGCAGGGACGUCGGACUGCCUCGCCCUCUCCUUGUGAGCACGCCUCCUGUCCCUGCCAGGGAGUUACAGGCUGCAGACCUGUGUGCACCAGACGGAGGACAGGGACUACACGACCCCACGCUGCAAGCUGCAGGGACUGUUUCAGGCCCAGCUCCGGGAAGAGUCAAAGACCCCAAGCUUCUUGCGCAGCCGCUCGGUGUGACCCCUGCUGUCCUCUGUGAGGUCUCAGGAGCCCCUGACACCACUGGGCCAAGCCUGAUGCUCCGUGUCUGGCAGUUUCUGAGCUGACCCUGGAGAAGGUGGUCCUCUGUUCUCAGGCUGUGACCCCCAAACUGCGUGUUUCCUGCCUAGGGUGGCGGCCAGGCCUGCUGUGGAGGGAGAGUGGAGCCUCACCCCUCUGCAGCCCCCAAGCUCCUGUACUGCCCUGCACCCCUGCUGCCUGCAGGCCUCCACCUGGGACCCAGAGCCUUUGCCUUCCCUUCCCUCGCUCCCGCAGUCCCUCCACUUGGUGGUUCAU